rnacentral:tRNA from 1 species
GCCCAUGUAGCUCAGUUGGUAGAGCACUUCCUUGGUAAGGAAGAGGUCAGCGGUUCGAUCCCGCUCAUGGGCU